GGAAUUCUCCUGCGCGGCGGCAUUUAUGUUUCGGAACUUCUCCGUUUAAUUCUCUGAUUUCACCUCUAUUUCGUGCAUAAAGACAACUUUUGGAUUCCUGUUUCAAGAUCAGGGGCGUGGCUGUCACCGACGUUGUCUAAGAGAGACCUGAUGCUAUAUUACUGUUGAAAAAGACGAAGCUGUUUGAUUUGGCAUGGCUAAGUAUUGACUGACAAACUGUCAAAAAGCUCCUCCAUCUGAUGGCACAGACCUCCAACAGGAUUUCACUGAUCAGCUGACUGCAGCAAAAUCUGACUGAAGAAAAUGAUGAAGGAAUCUACAAUGUCGUUGCAAGGACAAGCAAUCUCAGAAUACAAGCACCUCAACGGGAAAACCACUGGUAAUUGAAGCUGGUAGAUCGCCGUGACAUCUCUCGUAAACAAGCUGGGUUAUGGACAAGGAUCACAUCAACUAAGUUCAAAUGUCUUGAACACGAUAGGGCCCCUUCCAUUCUGACUGGAAAAGACAUCUAUCAUCUUUGGUUUGUACAUGAUCAAGGGUAUCCACAGUUUCUUUGCUGGGAAAAAUGGAAAGCAGUGGAAUUCAACGAUGGUGUGACAAUAUUUCCUGUCCUUGCCAAGGACCUAAAUAUUUGAUGAUAUCAUUCUGUCAUAUUACAAUGUCCACAAUCAUUUUAUUGUCAUCUUUUUAUGGCUGUUGUUAAUUGAAAGUUUGUCAGCUGAGCUAAAAACAACAACAAAUGAAUAAACAGAGU